UAGGGAAUCUUCCACAAUGGACGCAAGUCUGAUGGAGCAACGCCGCGUGAGUGAAGAAGGUCUUCGGAUCGUAAAGCUCUGUUGUUGGUGAAGAAGGAUAGAGGCAGUAACUGGUCUUUAUUUGACGGUAAUCAACCAGAAAGUCACGGCUAACUACGUGCCAGCAGCCGCGGUAAUACGUAGGUGGCAAGCGUUGUCCGGAUUUAUUGGGCGUAAAGCGAGCGCAGGCGGAACGAUAAGUCUGAUGUGAAAGCCCACGGCUCAACCGUGGAACUGCAUCGGAAACUGUCAUUCUUGAGUGCAGAAGAGGAGAGUGGAACUCCAUGUGUAGCGGUGGAAUGCGUAGAUAUAUGGAAGAACACCAGUGGCGAAGGCGGCUCUCUGGUCUGCAACUGACGCUGAGGCUCGAAAGCAUGGGUAGCGAACAGGAUUAGAUACCCCG
rnacentral:rRNA from 1 species